UAUUCAAAGAUUUAGCAAUCUCCCUAACAUCUUCAAUGUUAUACUCUAAAUAUAAGCUAUUUGAAU
rnacentral:tRNA from 1 species